AUGAAGAACGCAGUGAAAUGCGAUACGUAAUGUGAAUUGCAGAUUUCAGUGAAUCAUCGAAUCUUUGAACGCACAUUGCGCCCGCUAGUAUUCUGGCGGGCAUGCCUGUUCGAGCGUCAUUUCAACCAUCAAGCCCUAGGCUUGCGUUGGAGCCCUGCGGCUGCCGCAGGCUCCCAAAUCCAGUGGCGGGCUCGUCGUCGUACCGAGUGCAGUAAACAUCCUCGCUCAGGGAACGUGACGGGUUCUUGCCGUGAAACCCCCCACAUAUCAAGGUUGACCUCGGAUCAGGUAGGAAUACCCGCUGAACUUAAGCAUAUCAAUAAGCGGAGGA
rnacentral:misc_RNA from 1 species